rnacentral:rRNA from 1 species
UACGUAGGGACCAAGCGUUGUUCGGAUUUACUGGGCGUAAAGGGCGCGUAGGCGGCGUGGUAAGUCACUUGUGAAAUCUCUGAGCUUAACUCAGAACGGCCAAGUGAUACUGCUGUGCUAGAGUGCAGAAGGGGCAAUCGGAAUUCUUGGUGUAGCGGUGAAAUGCGUAGAUAUCUGGAGGAACACCGGUGGCGAAGGCGGCAUCCUGGACCGGCAUUGACGCUGAGGCGCGAAAGCUAGGGGAGCAAACGGGG